ACCAGAUCCCCGGGUAACCCCAUCCCUGCCCUGGCCAGACUGCAGCUCAGGAGCUCUGCUGCCACUCUGCCCAUGGAGCAGGCUGAGCAGGAUGUCAGCGUGAGAGCAGCCCUGGGACUGCAGCAGGCAGCAGCGCCAGGACAAGGCUGCCUGGAUGGCAGCAAGGAUCCCCUGCAGCUCCUGCUGGCUGGGAAGGAGCCCCAGGAGAAGGUUCUGGAGCUGGCCAGGCCCCAGCUGGCCCUGGUUCCCCUUGGCUACAGCGUGUCCCUGCUGCUGUGGGACCCCCGUGGCCCUGGGACACAGCUGCCCUUCCAGAGUGUCAUCUGGCAGGUGAUCGACACCGUCUUCCAGGAGCUGGAGGCCUUGGGGGACGACACUCAGAGCCUGCAGAUGGUCAGCCUGGUGCAGGUCAGCAGCCAGGACAAAGCCUGGGACCUGCUCCAUCCUGACGGCCGAGCCCUGC
rnacentral:lncRNA from 1 species